GUUAAUAAUGAUAGGUGUUAUAAAUCUCUAGUGAUGAAAUCAUGUUAUCUGCCUCAGCAAACACCAUCUGAUGGAAUUCAUUGAGGAGGCUUCAUAUCUAUUGUAUCUCCAAUAGCAAAGUACUAUGAAGCAGGGACUCAGGUGACUUCCCUAUUAAUCUUUUCUCUCUUACCCAGAAAGUGGGUAAAAAGUCUCUCAUUACUGUUCUGUCAGCACAAGGAUGGUUAGAUGACUCUAGGAAAUACUAUAAGUCACUAGUGGGGAUCCUGCUUUAGAGCUGUUUGGCAAGUUCAAAUAGGGAAAUAUAACUUCCAUGUUCUGAUGCUAUAAUGCCAAACUUAGCAUCCUGAAAUGAGAUGAAAUCCAUCUGAAAAGCAAAUUAUAUAGCUGAUGUGGCAUGCAGAUAAUAUGCUCCCACCUACAUAUCCAAUCAGAUUUUCAGCCACUGUAUUUUGAAGUAACUGAGGUUCUGCUGUUUCCAUUCCUACCAUAUGUUUUAGGGAUCUUACUUGACCUAGUUGAAAAUUCUGAAUUAUGGGAAUUGUAAUCCCAGGUCCUCUGGAGUGGAUUGUGAAAAGCUGGACCAGUGUCAUAAAGGUUUUUGCCGGCUCAGGUGCUGAAAGGUAUUCCUUAUUAUCACCAGACGCUUGCCUGGCUUCCAAAGGCAGGCUUCAAAAGCACCCUCAGUUUGCUUUCCAGGGAGGAAUAAAACUCUACCAAACAAGACUGUUGAUCAACUACUUCUAGAUGUUCACAGUCAAAUGUCAGAAAAAUUAAUAGUGCCUGUACAGUUAAAUGUAUGGCAGAUAGGGGUUGGGGACCUCUGCUGAGCAAGUGCUAGAUUAACCUACUAGAUGGAUAACUCUGUGUGUUUUGCAAGUGCUAUUUACUGACACUGCUAUGCAUGAAACAUAAAGACAUCCUUAAACUGACCUCAACUCUUGAUGGAGACCAUGAAAUAUUUUUAAGUGAAAUACCCAUUGGAAGGAUGGUUGAAGAGACUAUCUUACAGUGGAGGGCUGGAGGCUGAGUCCCAUUAAGAAUAACGGAUGAGAUGUUGACAUGCUAAAGAUUGGAACGGACAAGGAAUAAAAAACUAAAACUCCAUCCACAUAAGAUGAAGAUGCUGUUGAUGGAUUAUUUAAUUUGGCCAAGAAGACAAUAUUCUACCUGUAUUGAAUGAAGCUGUAGGUCUGCUAUAAUAUGUUUUAUCUGAUUUUUUUUAGCUGUUGAUGCUUUUCUAAGCCACAGAUUAAAAAUUAAUAAGGUACUAUUAAAUAACAACAAGAUAAUGUUACAGGCAGAAAAUUGAACCAUAAUCUUAAUGGGGCACUGUAGAACAACAGAUAAAUAUAAUCAUUUAGGAAAUGUCCAAAGAAAAGUCCUGGCAAUAGCAUGGCGUGGAGGUGGUGAAGGGGAAAAGGUGACGUUUCCAGAAUAAGUAACAAAGAAAAGAGGAAAGCAUUAUGUGCAUCUGAAAUACCAAUUUAGAAAUCCUGAGGCAAUACUUUCUCACAAAAAUUAUAAUACUUUCUCACAAGAAUUAUAAUCUUAUGACUGCAUGUCAAACACAUUGCCUCUGCUAAAAUAGCAUGUCAAGAGGGUUCUAAUUGGCUUUUCCCCUAACGUUCCAGUCAUCUUUGUGCACAGAGAUUUUUUAAAAUAUGGGGAAUAUCCAAACACAUAAUUUGCAGUUUGAAAUGAGCAGCAUCAGGAAACUUUGGAUUGCUUAACUGAAUGCAUAUCAUAUCAAGGCCAUUUUUUGUUUAUCAAGUGAUGAGGAUGAGAUUUUUAGAUGUUUUCUUGCAAUCAGAAAAGCAUCAUUUAACAUUACUCAGUUUUUAAUGUUAUAAUGGUCCCAGCAACCUUGUAUUGACCAAGGGAGUGAGCAGUGUGCAUACUAAAUUAUGGUAGUUGGCAAUGAGCUUUCACAGCAGAAGUAUUAUUUCUCUGACCAAAAGUGAAUGAAAUUAACAUGCAAUGAUGAACAACCCUUGCAAACUAAGAGGUUGGGAGAAUAAGAAAAGGCAGCAAUUUGAGGAGAAUAAAGAGCAAAGCUGCUCAUUUAGAUACAUGUGAAUUUUUUCACUAGCUGCCAAUCUGCUGAAGGAUUGAUUUCCUUAAGUGCUUUUGCUGUUAAGUACCACUAGCAUUUUGCUUUCACCCCUUUGCUCCUCUCUCUUUUUUUUUCUGCUUCCCUUAUAUGUAACUUUUAUCCUUGACUCUUUCCCCUAUUUUUAGCUGUAAAUAUGACAUUAGAAGGAGGAUAAUAUUAGGCUAGCUUUCUCCAACUCGAUGUCUUCCAGAUACACUGAGCUAGAACAGCCAACCUACUGGUGAGAAUGGGAGUUAAAAUCCAACACAUGUUAACAGUAGAUGUAUUUGACAAAUAAGAAGCAAUAAAAAUUGAAAUGAAUAUUUUGAAAUAAACCUUUAGCUGAAAAGCUAAGAUUAUUUGCAGGUAGGCUGAGUCAUAUAUCUCUCACCUUUCCACACUGGUGGGCUUC